GAUGAACGCUGGCGGCGUGCCUAACACAUGCAAGUCGAACGGGAUGCGUAUCGGAAAGCUUCGGCCGGAAGAUACGUUAUCUAGUGGCGGACGGGUGAGUAACACGUGGGUAACCUGCCUUAUGGAGGGGGAUAACAGAGAGAAAUCACUGCUAAUACCGCAUAAGCACACAGUACCGCAUGGUACAGAGUGAAAAGAUUUAUCGCCAUAAGAUGGACCCGCGUCUGAUUAGCCAGUUGGCAGGGUAAAAGCCUACCAAAGCAACGAUCAGUAGCCGAUCUGAGAGGAUGACCGGCCACAUUGGGACUGAGACACGGCCCAAACUCCUACGGGAGGCAGCAGUGGGGAAUAUUGCACAAUGGGGGAAACCCUGAUGCAGCGACGCCGCGUGAGUGAAGAAGUAUUUCGGUAUGUAAAGCUCUAUCAGCAGGGAAGAUAAUGACA
rnacentral:rRNA from 1 species